GACGAACGCUGGCGGCGUGCUUAACACAUGCAAGUCGAACGGAAAGGCCCUGCUUGCAGGGUGCUCGAGUGGCGAACGGGUGAGUAUCACGUGGGUGAUCUGCCCCCUACUUUGUGAUAAGCCUGGGAAACUGGGUCUAAUACUGGAUAGGACCAUGCUGUAUGUGGUGUGGUGGAAAGAUUAGUUUCGGUAAGGGAUGAGCUCGCGGCCUAUCAGCUUGUUGGUGGGGUAAUGGCCUACCAAGGCGUCGACGGGUAGCCGGCCUGAGAGGGUGGACGGCCGCAUUGGGACUGAGAUACGGCCCAGACUCCUACGGGAGGCAGCAGUGGGGAAUAAUGCACAAUGGUCGCAAGCCUGAUGCAGCGACGCCGCGUGGGGGAUGACGGCGUUCGGGUUGUAAACUCCUUUCAGCCAUGACGAAGCCCUUGUGGUGACGGUAGUGGUAGAAGAAGCACCGGCUAACUACGUG
rnacentral:rRNA from 1 species